AACACGUUGGACCAAUUCUACCUUAGGGCGGAGGAUAACCUCGGGAAACUGAGGACAAACCUCCAUAGGCGGCAAGCACUGGAAUGUCUGCCGCUCAAACGAGAAGACCUGUAUUCGGUCAAUCGCCCUAAGACGAGUCUGCGGCGGAUUAGCCUGACGGUAGGGUAACGGCCUACCGUAGCUACGAUCCGUACCGGCCAUGGGAGUGGGAGCCGGGAGAUGGACACUGAGACAAAGGUCCAGGCUCUACGGAGCGCAGCAGUCGCGAAACCUUCUCAAUGCGCGCAAGCGUGAAGGGGUGACCCCAAGUGUGCACGUCUAACGUGCACUUUUACGGAGUCUAAGAAGCUCCGGGAAUAAGGGCUGGGUAAGACUGGUGCCAGCCGCCGCGGUAACACCAGCAGCCCAAGUGGUGAUCACGUUUACUGGGUUUAAAGCGUGCGUAGUCGGUUCAGCAAGUUUUCUGUGAAAUCCUGCGGCUCAACCGCAGGGAUGGCAGAAAAUACUACUGGGCUCGAGGCCGGGUGAGGUGUGGGGUAUUCUAGGGGUAGCGGUGAAAUGCUAUAAUCCCUGGAGGACCACCCGUAGCGAAGGCGCCACACCAGAACGGGCCUGACGAUGAGGCACGAGAGCUAGGGGAGCAAACAGGAUUAGAUACCCUGGUAGUCCUAGCCGUAAACGAUGCGGGUUUAGUGUUUCCUGAACCUCGUGUUCGGGAAGUGCUGAAGGGAAACCGUUAAACCCGCCACCUGGGGAGUACGGUCGCAAGGCUG
rnacentral:rRNA from 1 species